rnacentral:rRNA from 1 species
AUUGAACGCUGGCGGCAGGCCUAACACAUGCAAGUCGAGCGGAUGAAGGGAGCUUGCUCCUGGAUUCAGCGGCGGACGGGUGAGUAAUGCCUAGGAAUCUGCCUGGUAGUGGGGGAUAACGUCCGGAAACGGGCGCUAAUACCGCAUACGUCCUGAGGGAGAAAGUGGGGGAUCUUCGGACCUCACGCUACCAGAUGAGCCUAGGUCGGAUUAGCUAGUUGGUGGGGUAAAGGCCUACCAAGGCGACGAUCCGUAACUGGUCUGAGAGGAUGAUCAGUCACACUGGAACUGAGACACGGUCCAGACUCCUACGGGAGGCAGCAGUGGGGAAUAUUGGACAGUGGGCGAAAGCCUGAUCCAGCCAUGCCGCGUGUGUGAAGAAGGUCUUCGGAUUGUAAAGCACUUUAAGUUGGGAGGAAGGGCAGUAAGUUAAUACCUUGCUGUUUUGACGUUACCAACAGAAUAAGCACCGGCUAACUUCGUG